ACGAGCUAUUUCAGUUAGAAGGAGGAGAGGAACUACGGCCCCAUGAUAGCUGCUUUCUCUUCAGUCCUCAAAACACUCCCACAAGACAGGCAUUACUAUUUCUACCUCACAGAUGAGGAAGUGAUGCUGUGUUCACAGCCUCUGCCUGACUCCAGUGGUAACUCUCCUCAGUUCCCAUGGGACUCCUUUUCCUAAAUGCCAGCACAGAUGCCUGUCUGAGUGGCAUGGCCCGGAGAGGCCUACUGGAAGACCGGAGAAAGGACCAGCCCAGCUUCUCUGGGCUCUUGAUCCUGUGACCUGUUUUUUUGUUUUUGUUUUUUUAACAGGUGCAAAGAUCCUGUGGAUGGGAGAGUCUGAGGUUGGGUUUCAUUACCCUCUCCUCCCCCUUCCGUCCAUCCUGGUACCCCGGAGCUGGAGUGGCUCUCCAGAUGUGUGAUGUUCUCAGCUUCGCCUGGCUGAGCAGCGCCCCAGGAAAGGUUUCCACACAUUAGAAGGAAGCUUGCGCCCAGCCUUGGGAAGCCCUGAGAUGUGAGAUGGACCCAGUGGGCUUCCUCUCCUCUCUGUGCCCUCUGCCUCCACCACUGCCCAGCCCCUGCUCAUCACCUGUUUCAGCUACAGACUGCGGCAGCCUGGUCACUCGCUUCUUGGACACCCCUCCUCCCCAGUGACGCCUGAUGACCCCUACCAAGACUGCAAGCUUCUGAGGGCAGGGCUCCUUCCUGUAGAAACCUGCAUCAGGAAUGAUGAACCCAGUGUCCUGGACAGAGUGGCUUCUCAAGAGGUAAACACAGCUGUGGAUGCUAUCCUGGGGCUGACACUUUGGGGGAGCAGAUAGUCAGACAGCCAAUGACUAUGUGCUGUGCUAAGGAAGA